rnacentral:lncRNA from 1 species
UAACGGGCAACUUGACCUCUGGUCAGAACAUCCCAAACAGUUGAGAGCAAGGACAGAGCCUUUGGUAUUAAAUGCCUCUGAACUGAAAGGGCGGGAAGGCAGUGUUCCGGCUCUUGUGCUUCGGACAUGGAGCAACUUCUUUUAACCACUUGUCACAGGCUACGUGGGCAGCUCGUGCGUUCUGGAAUUUCUGAGGGAGACUUACCAAGUGCUUUCUGCUGAGACUGACGCAGCCAAGCGGGGGCAUCUGCGUGCCAGGAAUAUAUGGUUGCAUAAAACUGCAUCUUGGAGGAGCAUGAGAAUAAUGGCAGCCAGGCCAGCCUUGGGGCCUGGGUGCUGGAGCUGGAGCUGGAGCUUGGGUCCUGGGGUAUCAUCUACCACCUUCUUUGCCACACGGCUCUCACUGCUGGCGUCUGGACCCCACGUGUUGCUGCUGCAGCCGCCCUUGGCGCUGUCGGGAUUCUCAUCACAAGCCAAGGCCCCAUGCACCUGGAAGACAUUUGAACUCCUGCGCUGUUGAUGCUCCUGUCGCUGUUACUAUAGGAGACUCCUAGGCGCUGUCGUUCCUUAUGGUGAGUCUUGUGUUUCUCCAUGGAGAAGCUUUCAUUAUUUCCAGACUUGCUGAACCCAUUAUGAGACCAUUGAGACAGGAUAAGAAAUAAAAAUGUCUACUUUGUUCA